GAUGAACGCUGACGGCGUGCCUAAUACAUGCAAGUCGAGCGAACAGACGAUGAGCUUGCUCCUCUCACGUUAGCGGCGGACGGGUGAGUAACACGUGGAUAACCUACCUAUAAGACUGGGAUAACUUCGGAAAACCGGAGCUAAUACCGGAUAAUAUAUUGAACCGCGUGGUUCAAUAGUGAAAGACGGUUUUGCGGUCACUUAUAGAUGCAUCCGCGCGGGUUGAGCUAGUUGGUAAGGUAACGGCUUACCAAGGCAACGAUGCGUAGCCGACCUGAGAGCGUGAUACCCCACAGUGGAAGUGACAGGCGGUCUAGAAACCGAGGGGAGGCAGAGGCAGGUACUGGAGCGCACAGGGGGAAAGCCUGCAGGAGCAACGCAGCGUGAGUGCUGAAGGUCUGCGGAUCGUAAAACUCUGUUAUUAGGGAAGAACAAAUGUGUAAGUAACUAUGCGCGAGUGGCGGUAACCUAAAAAGAAAGCCAGGGUGACCACCGG
rnacentral:rRNA from 1 species